AGUGAACGCUGGCGGUAGGCCUAACACAUGCAAGUCGAACGGCAGCACAGGAGAGCUUGCUCUCUGGGUGGCGAGUGGCGGACGGGUGAGGAAUACAUCGGAAUCUACCUUUUCGUGGGGGAUAACGUAGGGAAACUUACGCUAAUACCGCAUACGACCUACGGGUGAACGUGGGGGACCGCAAGGCCUCACGCGAUUAGAUGAGCCGAUGUCCGAUUAGCUAGUUGGCGGGGUAAUGGCCCACCAAGGCGCCGAUCGGUAGCUGGUCUGAGAGGAUGAUCAGACACAAUGGAACUGGGACACGGUCCAGACUCCUACGGGAGGCAGCAGGGGGGAAUAUUGGACAAUGGGCGCAAGCCUGAUCCAGCCAUACCGCGGUGGUGAAGAAGGCCUGCGGGUUGUAAAGCCCUUUUGUUGGGAAAGAAAUCCUAUCGGUUAAUAACCGGUGGGGAUGACGGUACCCAAAGAAUAAGCACCGGCUAACUUCGUGCCAGCCGCCGCGGUAAGAC
rnacentral:rRNA from 1 species